UACCAGCAUCCCGAGUGGUCGGGACGAUUAUUGGGCCUAAAGCAUCCGUAGCCGGUCCUGCAAGUCUUCCGUUAAAUCCAGCUGCUCAACAGAUGGGCUGCGGGGGAUACUACAGGGCUAGGAGGCGGGAGAGGCAAGCGGUACUUUAUGGGUAGGGGUAAAAUCCGUUGAUCCAUAGAAGACCACCAGUGGCGAAGGCGGCUUGCCAGAACGCGCUCGACGGUGAGGGAUGAAAGCUGGGGGAGCAAACCGG
rnacentral:rRNA from 1 species